GAUGAACGCUGGCGGCGUGCCUAAUACAUGCAAGUCGAGCGAACAGACGAGGAGCUUGCUCCUCUGACGUUAGCGGCGGACGGGUGAGUAACACGUGGAUAACCUACCUAUAAGACUGGGAUAACUUCGGGAAACCGGAGCUAAUACCGGAUAAUAUAUUGAACCGCAUGGUUCAAUAGUGAAAGACGGUUUUGCUGUCACUUAUAGCUGGAUCCGCGCCGCAUUAGCUAGUUGGUAAGGUAACGGCUUACCAAGGCGACGAUGCGUAGCCGACCUGAGAGGGUGAUCGGCCACACUGGAACUGAGACACGGUCCAGACUCCUACGGGAGGCAGCAGUAGGGAAUAUUCCGCAAUGGGCGAAAGCCUGACGGAGCAACGCCGCGUGAGUGAUGAAGGUCUUCGGAUCGUAAAACUCUGUUAUUAGGGAAGAAAAAAUGUGUAAGUAACUAUGCACGUCUUGACGGUACCUAAUCAGAAAGCCACGGCUAACUACGUG
rnacentral:rRNA from 1 species